rnacentral:rRNA from 1 species
AUGUGCACUUUGCCUAAGAUGAAGGAGGCUAGUCGUAUUCAACAAUAUCGUCCGAUUUGCCUUCUGAAUGUAAGUUUUAAAAUCUUCACGAAGGUCGCAACUAAUCGGUUGAACGGGGUGGCUCACCAUGUCGUGAAACCCACUCAAACAGCAUUUAUGCAAGGCCGCAACAUAUUAGAUGGAGUGGUCGUCUUGCACGAAACUGUACAUGAGCUUCACCGAAAAAAGUUGAAUGGUGUCAUUCUUAAAAUAGAUUUUGAAAAAGCCUACGAUAAGGUUAAGUGGCCCUUUCUGUUGCAAACUUUGCGCAUGAAGGGGUUUUCACAAAAAUGGUGUCGUCGGGUAGAGAGCUUUGUCUCUGGAGGCAGUGUGGCUAUAAAAGUUAAUGAUGAC